rnacentral:rRNA from 1 species
AGAGUUUGAUCCUGGCUCAGGAUGAACGCUGGCGGCGUGCUUAACACAUGCAAGUCGAACGAACCUUCGGGUUAGUGGCGGACGGGUGAGUAACGCGUGAGAAUCUGCCCUCAGGAGGGGGAUAACGGUUGGAAACGACCGCUAAUACCCCAUAUGCCGCGAGGUGAAAUGAAUUUCGCCUGAGGAUGAGCUCGCGUCUGAUUAGUUAGUUGGUGGGGUAAAGGCCUACCAAGACAUCGAUCAGUAGCUGGUCUGAGAGGAUGAUCAGCCACACUGGGACUGAGACACGGCCCAGACUCCUACGGGAGGCAGCAGUGGGGAAUUUUCCGCAGUGGGCGAAAGCUUGACGGAGCAACGCCGCGUGAGGGAUGAAGGCCUCUGGGCUGUAAACCUCUUUUAUCAAGGAAGAAGAUCUGACAGUACUUGAUGAAUAAGCCACGGCUAAUUCCGUGCCAGCAGCCGCGGUAAUACGGGAGUGGCAAGCGUUAUCCGGAAUUAUUGGGCGUAAAGCGUCCGCAGGCGGUCUGUCAAGUCUGCUGUUAAAGCGUGGAGCUUAACUCCAUUUCGGCAGUGGAAACUGACAGACUAGAGUGUGGUAGGGGCAGAGGGAAUUCCCGGUGUAGCGGUGAAAUGCGUAGAUAUCGGGAAGAACACCAGUGGCGAAGGCGCUCUGCUGGGCCAUAACUGACGCUCAUGGACGAAAGCCAGGGGAGCGAAAGGGAUUAGAUACCCCUGUAGUCCUGGCCGUAAACGAUGAACACUAGGUGUCGGGGGAAUCGACCCCCUCGGUGUCGUAGCCAACGCGUUAAGUGUUCCGCCUGGGGAGUACGCACGCAAGUGUGAAACUCAAAGGAAUUGACGGGGGCCCGCACAAGCGGUGGAGUAUGUGGUUUAAUUCGAUGCAACGCGAAGAACCUUACCAGGGUUUGACAUCCUGCGAAUCUCUUGGAAACGAGAGAGUGCCUUCGGGAACGCAGUGACAGGUGGUGCAUGGCUGUCGUCAGCUCGUGUCGUGAGAUGUUGGGUUAAGUCCCGCAACGAGCGCAACCCACGUCGUUAGUUGCCAGCAUUUAGUUGGGCACUCUAGCGAGACCGCCGGUGAUAAACCGGAGGAAGGUGUGGAUGACGUCAAGUCAUCAUGCCCCUUACAUCCUGGGCUACACACGUACUACAAUGCUACGGACAAAGGGCAGCAAACUCGCGAGAGCUAGCAAAUCCCAUAAACCGUGGCUCAGUUCAGAUCGUAGGCUGCAACUCGCCUACGUGAAGGAGGAAUCGCUAGUAAUCGCAGGUCAGCAUACUGCGGUGAAUACGUUCCCGGGCCUUGUACACACCGCCCGUCACACCAUGGAAGUUGGCCACGCCCGAAGCCGUUACUCCAACCCUUGUGGAGGAGGACGUCGAAGGUGGGGCUGAUGACUGGGGUGAAGUCGUAACAAGGUA